GUGCUCACUUCAGUAGCACAUACACUAAAAUUGGAACCAUACAGAGAAGAAGAGCAUGGCCCCUGUGCAACGAUGACACGGAAAUUCAUGAAGCGUUCCAUAUUUUU